rnacentral:lncRNA from 1 species
AGGGAGGAGACGAAAGAGGCGGUGAGUAAACAAUGGGCUUUGGGCUGUAGUAGUCAUGCAUCAGGUAGUAGUAAUGCUGGAGUAUGCGGGCUGGUCCAACUGGCUUUUAGGCCCACAGUUCAUUCUGCCCUUGUUUUUUCUAGUAUGCCCUCUGUAUAAUUUCUUUCCAAUUUGUCCUUUUGGUGCAUAUAUUCAAGAUGGUUUCCCGAAUACCCUCCUCCCAGCUGAAAUUUCAUAUUUUUGAUCUAUUCAAACUGUCCUUAAGUCUUGUAUUUUCCGU